UACGGGGGGUGCAAGCGUUGUUCGGAUUUAUUGGGCGUAAAGCGCGUGUAGGCGGUUUUUUAAGUCUGAUGUGAAAGCCCCGGGCUCAACCUGGGAAGUGCAUUGGAUACUGGGAGACUUGAAUACGGGAGAGGGUAGUGGAAUUCCUAGUGUAGGAGUGAAAUCCGUAGAUAUUAGGAGGAACACCGGUGGCGAAGGCGGCUACCUGGACCGAUAUUGACGCUGAGACGCGAAAGCGUGGGGAGCAAACAGG
rnacentral:rRNA from 1 species